rnacentral:tRNA from 1 species
GGGAAGGUGGCUCAGUGGUAGGGCGCUUGCCUCACAUGCAUGAGGUCCUGGAUUAGAUUCCUCACCAUCACA